rnacentral:rRNA from 1 species
UACAGAGGGGGCAAGCGUUAUUCGGAAUUAUUGGGCGUAAAGGGCGCGUAGGCGGCUUGGCAAGUGGAUGGUGAAAUCCCUCGGCUUAACCGAGGAACUGCCGUCCAAACUGCUUUGCUUGAGACCGGGAGAGGUGAGUGGAAUUCCCAGUGUAGCGGUGAAAUGCGUAGAUAUUGGGAGGAACACCAGUGGCGAAGGCGGCUCACUGGACCGGUACUGACGCUGAUGCGCGAAAGCGUGGGGAGCAAACGGGAUUAGAUACCCCGGUAGUCCACGCUGUAAACGAUGAGUGCUUGGUGUAGCGGGUAUCGACCCCUGCUGUGCCGAAGUCAACACAUUAAGCACUCCGCCUGGGGAGUACGGUCGCAAGGCUGAA